rnacentral:rRNA from 1 species
GUUGUAAUUUGCAGAGGGCGCUUUGGUGUCGGCAGCGGUCCAAGUUCCUUGGAACAGGACGUCACAGAGGGUGAGAAUCCCGUACGUGGUCGCUGACCUACACCGUGUAAAGCCCCUUCGACGAGUCGAGUUGUUUGGGAAUGCAGCUCUAAAUGGGAGGUAAAUUUCUUCUAAAGCUAAAUACUGGCCAGAGACCGAUAGCGCACAAGUAGAGUGAUCGAAAGAUGAAAAGCACUUUGGAAAGAGAGUCAAACAGCACGUGAAAUUGUUGAAAGGGAAGCGCUUGCAGCCAGACUUGCUUG